UGAGGAAUAUUGGUCAAUGGACGGAAGUCUGAACCAGCCAUGCCGCGUGAAGGAUGAAGGCGUUCUGCGUUGUAAACUUCUUUUAUCUGGGAAGAAACCACAGAUUUCUAUUUGUGUUGACGGUACCAGAGGAAUAAGCACCGGCUAACUCCGUGCCAGCAGCCGCGGUAAUACGGAGGGUGCGAGCGUUAUCCGGAUUUACUGGGUUUAAAGGGUGCGUAGGCGGGCUAUUAAGUCAGAGGUGAAAUCUCCGGGCUCAACCUGGAAACUGCCUUUGAUACUAUUAGCCUUGAAUUAUGUUGAGGUUGGCGGAAUAUAACAUGUAGCGGUGAAAUGCUUAGAUAUGUUAUGGAACACCAAUUGCGAAGGCAGCUGGCUAAACAUAUAUUGACGCUGAUGCACGAAAGCGUGGGUAGCGAACA
rnacentral:rRNA from 1 species